UACGUAGGGACCAAGCGUUGUUCGGAUUUACUGGGCGUAAAGGGCGCGUAGGCGGCAUGACAAGUCACUUGUGAAAUCUCUGGGCUUAACCCAGAACGGCCAAGUGAUACUGUCGCGCUAGAGUGCGGAAGGGGCAAUCGGAAUUCUUGGUGUAGCGGUGAAAUGCGUAGAUAUCAAGAGGAACACCUGAGGUGAAGACGGGUUGCUGGGCCGACACUGACGCUGAGACGCGAAAGCGUGGGGAGCGAACAGG
rnacentral:rRNA from 1 species